rnacentral:rRNA from 1 species
GAUGAACGCUGGCGGCGUGCCUAAUGCAUGCAAGUCGAGCGAACGGACGGGAAGCUUGCUUCUCUGAUGUUAGCGGCGGACGGGUGAGUAACACGUGGAUAACCUACCUAUAAGACUGGGAUAACUUCGGGAAACCGGAGCUAAUACCGGAUAAUAUUUUGAACCGCAUGGUUCAAAAGUGAAAGACGGUCUUGCUGUCACUUAUAGAUGGAUCCGCGCUGCAUUAGCUAGUUGGUAAGGUAACGGCUUACCAAGGCAACGAUGCAUAGCCGACCUGAGAGGGUGAUCGGCCACACUGGAACUGAGACACGGUCCAGACUCCUACGGGAGGCAACAGUAGGGAAUCUUCCGCAAUGGGCGAAAGCCUGACGGAGCAACGCCGCGUGAGUGAUGAAGGUCUUCGGAUCGUAAAACUCUGUUAUUAGGGAAGAACAUAUGUGUAAGUAACUGUGCACAUCUUGACGGUACCUAAUCAGAAAGCCACGGCUAACUACGUG